rnacentral:rRNA from 1 species
GACGAACGCUGGCGGCGUGCUUAACACAUGCAAGUCGAGCGGUAAGGCCCUUUCGGGGGUACACGGAGCGGCGAACGGGUGAGUAACACGUGGGUGACCUGCCCUCAGCUCUGGGAUAAGCCUGGGAAACCGGGUCUAAUACUGGAGUAUGACUCCAUGACGCAUGUUGUGGGGUGGAAAGCCUUGUGCGGCUGAGGAUGGGCCCGCGG